CUUUUUAUUUUGGAUAAUUUGCAAGCGCUAAAGGUUUAAAAAAAAAAAAUUAAAAUACUAAAAGAGGGGAAAAGAUCAGGCGGAGAGCAGCUCACCACUUUUGAUCUUCAGGGGAGAGAGAGAUGCAGAAUCAGAAUCAGAAUCAGGAGGGGCAAUUAGCGGAUGGCCAAACAGCUUCUGAAUUUGAAGAUUGGGCAAGUUUUGGGGACGAUGAUAUUAUGCAACAACACUCUGCAAUUCGCUCCGCUGAAGCCGAUAAAAUUCCUUUUCUCGGUGACAAGGAGCCUCUUUCUGCGUUAGCCGCUGAAUAUGAAUCAGGGAGCCCUAUUUUGCUCGAGAAGAUAAAGGUCCUUGGCGACCAGUAUGUUGCUAUUAGGCGAACGCGCGGAGAUGGCAAUUGCUUCUUUCGAAGCUUUAUGUUUUCAUACCUCGAGCACAUUUUGGAGACACAGGAUCGGGCAGAAGUUGAUCAAAUUAAAGCGAAGGUGGAAGAAUGUAGGAAAACGCUUCAGAGUUUGGGUUAUGCUGACUUUACCUUUGAGGAUUUUUUUGCGCUAUUCCUGGAGCAGCUGGACUGUGUUCUUCAAGGAAAUGAUUCUUCAAAUAAGUCACGAUGAGCUCAUAAAUAGGAGUCGUGAUCAAUCAAUAUCAGAUUAUGUUGUCAUGUUUUUCAGAUUUGUUACUUCUGGGGAAAUACGGAAACGCUCCGAGUUUUUUGAACCCUUCAUAUUGGGGUUAACAAAUGCAACUGUAGAACAGUUUUGCAAGUCAUCUGUGGAACCUAUGGGUGAAGAGAGCGACCAUGUGCACAUUACUGCCCUAUCAGAUGCCUUGGGUGUGCCAAUUCGUGUUGUAUACCUUGACCGCAGUUCUUGUGAUACAGGCAGUGUUAGUGUAAAUCAUCAUGAUUUCAUUUCUGCUGCUGAUGAUCUCCCAAAUUCUACUAGUGGUGGUUCAGUGACCAAGAAUCCCUUCAUUACUUUGCUUUAUCGUCCAGGUCACUAUGAUAUUCUCUACGCAAAGUGAUUCCUUGCCCACUCUGACUGUUAAUUGAUUCUGGCAAAUGGUGGGGCUAUGAAGGUAAUAAGUGACUCAUGGCAGGAACUCUAGUGUUGUAAGGCAAAGAACUAAGCUCAUUUGCUUUAUGCUUUAGCUUGUGAAAAAUGUUCAAAUGCUUCUAAACCCUGUGAGUGGGGAUAUAAAUGCAAGGUUUCUAGAAAAGCUGGGAACAAUCAUCAGUUUCAAUUCAUGGAUUGAGAUGGUCCUCAACUGGUCUUUAAUCAUCCCUGUGAAAUUGCUUUACUGAAGGGUGAAAAAUUUAUGUCAUCCUG
rnacentral:misc_RNA from 1 species